UCUAGGCGGAGACUGGCGCGCGGAGGAGAUGAGAGAGAGAGACGAGGGAAGGCGACGGUAGACGAGAGGUACACACGGUGGAAGUCGCUCGUCCCUGUCCUCUAUGAUUAUUGGUUCGCCAACCACAACCUCGUCUGGGCUUCCCUCUCUUGCAGGUGGCGGCCUCAACAUGAGCAAGCAACAUACAAGAAUCGGCAGUGGCUAUACCUCUCUGAGCAGAGACUGGAAUCUGGAAAUGGUUGUGUGUAAGGAAUCAGCUGCAACAUUGCAGACUGAUGGCUCUGUACCAAAUACUCUUGUUAUAGCAAAUUGUGAAGUCGUCAAGCCAAGAGUUGCAGCGGUGGAGCAUAUAUCCGAGUUCAAUGAAGAAGCUUGUUCACCAUUUGUGAAGAAAUACAAAACAAUCAUACAUCCGGCGGAGGUCAACAGAAUCAGGGAGCUUCCUCAGAAUAGCUAAAUAGUUGCAACACAUACUGACAGCCCUGAUGUAAGGAAAACUACAAUGUUGGUGUCAUUUUUGGCCAAGUUCACUUUUGUUAGGCUUUCUGUAAUGUCUCAAUACUCUUAUGAAGGUUUUUGUUUGGGAUGUUGACGCACAACCUAAUCGUCAUCCUAUGUUAGGAGCUACUGAAUCCCUUCCAGAUUUGGUAAGGAUAAAUCAGUUGUCUUGUGGAGCAUACAUGAUCAUAUCUCGUCUCUAUCAGAGUCAUUGUCAAAGUCGCCUGUCUCAUCAACUCCAAAUUCAAGUGGUAAGCAGCCCACUAAAGCUGGUAAUGUGAAAAGCU